ACGCUGGCGGCGUGCUUAACACAUGCAAGUCGAACGGUGAAGCCAAGCUUGCUUGGUGGAUCAGUGGCGAACGGGUGAGUAACACGUGAGCAACCUGCCCUGGACUCUGGGAUAAGCGCUGGAAACGGCGUCUAAUACUGGAUAUGUGACGUGAUCGCAUGGUCGUGUUUGGAAAGAUUUUUCGGUCUGGGAUGGGCUCGCGGCCUAUCAGCUUGUUGGUGAGGUAAUGGCUCACCAAGGCGUCGACGGGUAGCCGGCCUGAGAGGGUGACCGGCCACACUGGGACUGAGACACGGCCCAGACUCCUACGGGAGGCAGCAGUGGGGAAUAUUGCACAAUGGGCGGAAGCCUGAUGCAGCAACGCCGCGUGAGGGAUGACGGCCUUCGGGUUGUAAACCUCUUUUAGCAGGGAAGAAGCGAAAGUGACGGUACCUGCAGAAAAAGCGCCGGCUAACUACGUGCCAGCAGCCGCGGUAAUACGUAGGGCGCAAGCGUUAUCCGGAAUUAUUGGGCGUAAAGAGCUCGUAGGCGGUUUGUCGCGUCUGCUGUGAAAUCCCGAGGCUCAACCUCGGGCCUGCAGUGGGUACGGGCAGACUAGAGUGCGGUAGGGGAGAUUGGAAUUCCUGGUGUAGCGGUGGAAUGCGCAGAUAUCAGGAGGAACACCGAUGGCGAAGGCAGAUCUCUGGGCCGUAACUGACGCUGAGGAGCGAAAGGGUGGGGAGCAAACAGGCUUAGAUACCCUGGUAGUCCACCCCGUAAACGUUGGGAACUAGUUGUGGGGACCAUUCCACGGUUUCCGUGACGCAGCUAACGCAUUAAGUUCCCCGCCUGGGGAGUACGGCCGCAAGGCUAAAACUCAAAGGAAUUGACGGGGACCCGCACAAGCGGCGGAGCAUGCGGAUUAAUUCGAUGCAACGCGAAGAACCUUACCAAGGCUUGACAUAUACGAGAACGGGCCAGAAAUGGUCAACU
rnacentral:rRNA from 1 species